GGCCUGUUUCUGUGCUGUAGUGCUCUAUGACUCUGUGACCCUAAAAGCAAACAAGCCAACGGAAGCAAUGACAGAGGGGUGCGGUAGGGUGAUGGUGACAGGUGUCUGAACUAACCAUGGGACCUACAUGAAGAAAUGGAGGAUGAUGACUGCUCUGAGAAAACAUCUGUUUACGAAAUGGAACAAAGCUGCAGGACCACAAGAAAAAGAUGGGAAUGCCACUGGAAUUACCAUUGAAGCUGGCACAAGAGUGGCAACAGCAGGAACCAUGAAAACACAGAUCUGUAGGGGUUCGCUGAAGGAGGAAAAGCCCAAGUAGGUAUGUGUUUCGCAACAGGAUGUUGUACUUCCACUUGUCAGAGGAACAGUGUGCACAGAAGGCACAGACUCAUGUCACUGUUGCAGCAAGAAUUGAAACGGAACAACACCCUGGGAUCUGCUUGUGGUCGUGAAAGUUAUGUUGGCCUUUGAGUUCUGUCUCACAGACACACCAACUUGUCAUAAACUGUGGUUUUCUGGCCAUGUGGCGAUUAAGCAGAUUAAAGAUGCUCUUUUUGUAAUUAGAUAACAACAUAUCAGUUUUGUGACUGAUGAUCAGGGGACUGGAUUUGUCUGCAGUGCAUUCUUGGGAUAAAGCUGGGAUCUUACAUAUCCUGGUCCCACCCAAACCUAUGGCUCUGGCUGAACAUAAACCACAGAUUUUGAACUCCUGAUCUUCAGCCCCAGUCCCUUCAAAUCUUCUCUCACUACAAAUUCGUUUACUGCUUAUAGUCUUGUUAAACAUUGGAUGUGGGAAAUAAAUUAGAAUUUACGUUUCAGAUCUUUGUUUUUUUGUUUGCUCUUCUGGCAUUUGUGAAGCCAGCUGUAGCGUCUGUGGGUUUUAUCUGAGUU